rnacentral:rRNA from 1 species
AGCAGCCGCGGUAAUUCCAGCUCCAAUAGCGUAUAUUAAAGUUGUUGCAGUUAAAAAGCUCGUAGUUGAAUUUCGGGGUUAGUAGGUUGGCCAUGCCUCUGGUAUGUACUGGUCUCACUGAUUCCUCCUUCCUGAUGAGCCGUAAUGCCAUUAAUUUGGUGUUGCGGGGAAUUUGGACUGUUACUUUGAAAAAAUUAGAGUGUUUAAAGCAAGCUAACGCUUGAAUACAUUAGCAUGGAAUAAUGAAAUAGGACGUUCGAUCCUAUUUUGUUGGUUUCUAGGAUUGACGUAAUGAUUAAUAGGGAUAGUUGGGGGCAUUAGUAUUCAAUUGUCAGAGGUGAAAUUCUUGGAUUUAUUGAAGACUAACUACUGCGAAAGCAUUUGCCAAGGAUGUUUUCAUUAAUCAAGAACGAAAGUUAGGGGAUCGAAGACGAUCAGAUACCGUCGUAGUCUUAACCAUAAACUAUGCCGACUAGGGAUCGGAUGAUGUUAAUUUUUAAUGA